UAAGGAAUAUUGGUCAAUGGACGCAAGUCUGAACCAGCCAUGCCGCGUGGAGGAUUAAGGCCCUCUGGGUUGUAAACUCCUUUUAUCUGGGAAGAAAUGUACUUUUUCUUGAGUACUUGACGGUACCAGAGGAAUAAGCACCGGCUAACUCCGUGCCAGCAGCCGCGGUAAUACGGAGGGUGCAAGCGUUAUCCGGAUUCACUGGGUUUAAAGGGUGCGUAGGUGGGUAUGUAAGUCAGUGGUGAAAUCUCCGAGCUUAACUUGGAAACUGCCGUUGAUACUAUAGGUCUUGAAUUAUCUGGAGGUAAGCGGAAUAUGUCAUGUAGCGGUGAAAUGCUUAGAUAUGACAUAGAACACCAAUUGCGAAGGCAGCUUACUACAUAUAAAUUGACGCUGAGGCACGAAAGCGUGGGGAUCAAACA
rnacentral:rRNA from 1 species